rnacentral:rRNA from 1 species
CCUACGGGUGGCAGCAGUGGGGAAUAUUGGACAAUGGGGGAAACCCUGAUCCAGCGACGCCGCGUGAGUGAAGAAGUAUUUCGGUACGUAAAGCUCUAUCAGCAGGAAAGAAAAUGACGGUACCUGACUAAGAAGCCCCGGCUAACUACGUGCCAGCAGCCGCGGUAAUACGUAGGGGGCAAGCGUUAUCCGGAUUUACUGGGUGUAAAGGGCGAGUAGGCGGGCUGGCAAGUUGGGAGUGAAAUCCCGGGGCUUAACCCCGGAACUGCUUUCAAAACGGCUGGUCUUGAGUGAUGGAGAGGCAGGCGGAAUUCCGGGUGUAGCGGUGAAAUGCGUAGAUAUUAGGAGGAACACCGGUGGCGAAGGCGGCUUACUGGACCGUAACUGACGUUGAGGCUCGAAAGCGUGGGGAGCAAACAGGAUUAGAUACCCCAGUAGUC